UACGGAGGGUGCAAGCGUUAUCCGGAUUCACUGGGUUUAAAGGGAGCGUAGGUGGGUUGAUAAGUCAGUGGUGAAAUCUUCGAGCUUAACUCGGAAACUGCCAUUGAUACUAUCAGUCUUGAAUAUUGUGGAGGUUAGCGGAAUAUGUCAUGUAGCGGUGAAAUGCUUAGAUAUGACAUAGAACACCAAUUGCGAAGGCAGCUGGCUACGCAUAUAUUGACACUGAGGCUCGAAAGCGUGGGGAUCAAA
rnacentral:rRNA from 1 species